AUUGAACGCUGGCGGCAUGCUUUACACAUGCAAGUCGAACGGUAACAGGCCACUAGGUGCUGACGAGUGGCGAACGGGUGAGUAAUGCAUCGGAACGUGCCCAGUCGUGGGGGAUAACGCAGCGAAAGCUGUGCUAAUACCGCAUACGAUCUAUGGAUGAAAGCGGGGGACCGUAAGGCCUCGCGCGAUUGGAGCGGCCGAUGUCAGAUUAGGUAGUUGGUGGGGUAAAGGCCCACCAAGCCAACGAUCUGUAGCUGGUCUGAGAGGACGACCAGCCACACUGGGACUGAGACACGGCCCAGACUCCUACGGGAGGCAGCAGUGGGGAAUUUUGGACAAUGGGCGCAAGCCUGAUCCAGCAAUGCCGCGUGCAGGAAGAAGGCCUUCGGGUUGUAAACUGCUUUUGUACGGAACGAAAAGGUCUGGGUUAAUACCCUGGGCCGAUGACGGUACCGUAAGAAUAAGCACCGGCUAACUACGUGCCAGCCGCCGCCGUAAUAC
rnacentral:rRNA from 1 species